UGGAUGCUCACAGCCAUCUGACUGAG
rnacentral:misc_RNA from 1 species